GAUGAACGCUAGCGGCAGGCUUAACACAUGCAAGUCGAGGGGCAGCACGGGUAGCAAUACCUGGUGGCGACCGGCGGAAGGGUGCGUAACGCGUGAGCAACAUGCCCUAUACAGGGGAAUAAACCAGGGAAACUUGGUCUAAUGCCCCAUAGCAAUAAGAUAAGGCAUCUUAUUUUAUUUAAAGCUUCGGUGGUAUAGGAUUGGCUCGCGUGACAUUAGCUGGAUGGUGGGGUAACGGCCCACCAUGGCGAUGAUGUCUAGGGGUUCUGAGAGGAAGACCCCCCACACUGGGACUGAGACACGGCCCAGACUCCUACGGGAGGCAGCAGUGAGGAAUAUUGGACAAUGGAUGGAAAUCUGAUCCAGCCAUGCCGCGUGCAGGAAGACGGCCCUAUGGGUUGUAAACUGCUUUUCUACGGGAGCAAUAAGGUCUACGCGUAGACUGAUGAGAGUACCGUAGGAAUAAGCAUCGGCUAACUCCGUGCCAGCAGCCGCGGUAAUACGGAGGAUGCGAGCGUUAUCCGGAUUUAUUGGGUUUAAAGGGUGCGUAGGCGGCUUUUUAAGUCGGCGGUGAAAUUUUGCAGCUUAACUGUAACAGUGCCGUUGAUACUGGGGAGCUAGGAUUUGGUUGCUGUGGGUGGAAUGUGUGGUGUAGCGGUGAAAUGCUUAGAGAUCACACAGAAUAUCGAUUGCGAAGGCAGCUCACAAAGCCAAGAUUGACGCUGAGGCACGAAAGUGUGGGGAUCAAACAGGAUUAGAUACCCUGGUAGUCCACACUGUAAACGAUGAUAACUCGCUGUCGGCGAUACACAGUCGGUGGCCAAGCGAAAGCGAUAAGUUAUCCACCUGGGGAGUACGACCGCAAGGUUGAAACUCAAAGGAAUUGACGGGGGCCCGCACAAGCGGAGGACAUGUGGUUUAUUCGAUGAUACGCGAGGAACCUUACCCGG
rnacentral:rRNA from 1 species